GAAGAGAAUUUCUAGGAACCAGGAAAUCCUAUUUUUAUUUCUUAAAUAAAUUCUGCAGUCUCCUUGCAAGUGGUUGAAGCUACUGAGCUAGUCUGUAUGUAUAUAACUUCUGGUCAAUGAUGGGCAGAGCUGAGUGUAAAGCGGAAAAAAUUUGUAAACACACUUUUAUGUAAAAUUCACGUUUUAUGAUUUGAAAGGAGCUCCCUGGAACUGUUCAUUUAAAAUCCUUUUGGUGCUAAUGAAAGUGGUCCUGUUUUCUGUUGUGCAGGAAGAAGCAGGAAGCUUUAAUAUGACCAGAAGUAAUUUCACAAACAAAAUCCAUGUUUCUUUUACUGCAGCCUGAUUGCAUUCAAACACGGUGUGAUAUUUCAGUGUCCAAGAAGCAGUAAGCAAAGCAUCAGUGAUCAACAAUAAUGCUGAUUCAGAGUCAGAUGUGAGUUUAAAAAAAAGCAUAAAUGAUCAAACAAAGGAAUUAUUUCAAAGAGGAUUUGUAAGGGAAAGGGCUUUGAAUGUUAAGAUAUUCCACAUUCUCACACUGAUGUUUCCCUUUGAAAAGAAGAUCUAAACUUUUAAAACCAAAAGGUGCUUUUCAGAGAAGAUAAACAGAGUGGGGGGAGAGGAGAUGCAGGGGAUAAACUAAAAUAAUUGCAACAUUUCUGAAGGACUUGAGUCUGUUUUUUUGUACAAGCAAUGAAGAAGUGUUGACCUGUUGACGCUGGAUAGCCCAGAAGCAAUGAGUUCUCGGCUGAACAAAUUAAGAAGAACCUGCCAAGCCUUCUGAAACCACUGUGGCUCUGGGUUGAUUGUUCAAGAAGGGAGUGGGGUGCUGAGUCUGGGCCUGUCAGGAGCGCAGUGCUGUCAUGUCCAGAAUGAACUGGGCUUGGAAAUUCAGCAAGCGAACUUUUUUGCUGCUGACUGUCUCGUGGAGGAGUGAGAGCAGGGCAGAGGGCGUACUGGAGCGCAGAUUUCGGAGGAGUCAGUAUGUGACUGCCCAGAGGAGGGAAGCCCUCUACCCUGGGAAAUGCUUCCAUUUCAUGAAAAUGAUGCCUGCUCAGCAUGCCUGGCUUAUUACUGCUUGCGGUGUGGAUUUGCUGCUGUUCCCAUGUCUCCUGAUGGGAUGGAGGGUGAGGGCAGAGAGGCAGGAUCUGCAGCUCAGAGCUGGGCAGCAGGAGGACGACAACAGAGCAGACAAGUGUUUGGCUAAAGCUCUCUUCUAGUGUAGGAGCUGUGCUCGCCUAUGGAGAGGUGCCCCAGGUGAGCGGGGGUUGGUAACUGYGGUGUGCGUGUUGCUCUUGCUUCUGUAAGGAAAUACAGAACAAAUCUUGGAACUGUGCAUUUCCGACACCUGUUAAAGCAAGAAUAUAUUUUAAUCAAGCUUACGGCAUGUCCAGGAUGCGCUUUGUGCUCCGGGGAAAAGGCCCUCCAGCAGUAGCUGCUCCAGAUGGCAAAUAGCUUUCAGCCCCGUAACUCUCCCUUCGUAGCUUGCUCUCGUCUGAUGUGGCCAGACAGGGUAGCGCAGGGCGUAACCACAGGAUGUAGA
rnacentral:lncRNA from 1 species